rfam:Brachypodium distachyon strain Bd21 chromosome 1, whole genome shotgun sequence.
GAACUACUCCCUCCGUCCCAUAUUAAGUGACUUUCUAUUACAUGUAUCUAGACGCUUUUCAGGCAUAGAUACAUCCAUAUUUGGGUAAAUUUGAGUCACUUAAUAUGGGACGGAGGGAGUACAUU